rnacentral:rRNA from 1 species
AUUGAACGCUGGCGGCAGGCCUAGCACAUGCAAGUCGAACGGUAACAGGAAGAAGCUUGCUUCUUUGCUGACGAGUGGCGGACGGGUGAGUAAUGUCUGGGCAACUGCCUGAUGGAGGGGGAUAACUACUGGAAACGGUAGCUAAUACCGCAUAACGUCGCAAGACCAAAGAGGGGGACCUUCGGGCCUCUUGCCAUCGGAUGUGCCCAGAUGGGAUUAGCUAGUAGGUGGGGUAACGGCUCACCUAGGCGACGAUCCCUAGCUGGUCUGAGAGGAUGACCAGCCACACUGGAACUGAGACACGGUCCAGACUCCUACGGGAGGCAGCAGUGGGGAAUAUUGCACAAUGGGCGCAAGCCUGAUGCAGCCAUGCCGCGUGUAUGAAGAAGGCCUUCGGGUUGUAAAGUACUUUCAGCGGGGAGGAAGGGAGUAAAGUUAAUACCUUUACUCAUUGACGUUACCCGCAGAAGAAGCACCGGCUAACUCCGUG